GCUGACCGGCGUCGUAUCGUCCGAUUCGAAAAUUGGCCCAUGGAGUUUCUUUCACUGGCAAGGUUAAGCACGCAAGUGCGAAGCCGCAGGGAAACCGACAGUCCGCAGCAUUGCAAGGGACGGAGUGUGCUCGCUCGGAGUCAGUGGAUGGAUACCCGAAGCCGGUCGAUCUAUGCCUGGGCAGGGUGAAGCCCUCUGGAAAGAGGGUGGAGGCCCGAACCGGUACUGAUGUGCAAAUCGUUCGGAUGACCUGGGUAUAGGGGCGAAAGACCAAUCUAGGCCGGCAAUAGCUGGUUCCUCUCGAAACUGCUCGAAGGCAGACCUCCGUGGAGACGGGGCGUGCGGUAGAGCACUGAUUGCGUGUUUAGGGAGCGAGAGUUCUCGGCAUGCUGUCAAACUCCGAAUGUGCGUCCGUCGCAGAAGCGGGGCAGUGAGGGCACUGGGGUAAGCUUAGUGUCCGCGAGGAGAACAAUCCAGACCGAAGUUAAGGUCCCAAAGUGACCGCUAAGUGUUAAAGAACAAAUGGUGUCUGGCGGCAGAGACAGCUGGGAGGUUGGCUUAGAGGCAGCCAUCCUUUAAAGAGUUCGUAACAGAUCACCAGUCGAGUUUCUGGGCCCAGAAAAUGGACGGGACUAAGCGGUUCACCGAUACUUCGGGCCACCGAAAGGUGAUGCGGUAGAGAGGCGUCGUGCGUGGAUGGAAGCAGGGGCGUGAGUUCCUGUGGACCGCGUUCGAAUGAUAAUCAUGGGAAGAGUAGUAGCGUAGACGGGUGAGAAUCCCGUCCGCCGUAGGGGCUAGGGUUCCUCGACGAUGUUCAUCAGUCGAGGGUUAGUCGGUCCUAAGGUUUCCCCUAACAGGAGAAAUCGAAAGGGAAGCAGGUUAAUAUUCCUGCACCAGUCCGUAUUUUGUCCAGUUCUUGACACAUCGGGUGCGACGGAGCACUCCUGUCGGAGUGUUGCCGGCCGCGAUAAAGCCGUGGAGAACCGUAAUGGUGAGAAGCAGCCUAAGCGACCGGGAGGCGGAGUAUUUCGCUUCCGUUCUAUCCUGGUGUCCGUGAAAAGAGAGCUGGAGCCGUGCUGACUGACCGUACCGAGAUCUGACACAGGUGCCCCUAGGUGAGUAGCCUAAGGCGUCGCGGCAUAAUCAAGGCAAGGGAAUUCGGCAAAUUGGCCCCGUACCUUUGGUAGAAGGGGUGCCAGCCUUGCAGAAGGCUGGUCGCAGUGACCAGGGAGCUCCGACUGUUUACUAAAAACACAGGUGGCUGCUAGUCCGUAAGGAUGUGUAUAGCCGCUGAAUCCUGCCCAGUGGCGGUAUCUGAAACCCGGUUUCACCCGGACGAAGGACCGCUAAACGGCGGGGGUAACUAUGACCCUCUUAAGGUAGCGUAAUACCUUGUCGCUUAAUUGGCGACUUGCACGAAUGGCCUAACGAGAGCUCUACUGUCCCUGCCUUGAGCCCGAUGAAAUUGACGUACUGGCGCACAGUCCAGUACGUCCCAGCCGCAAGCGAAGACCCCGUGGAGCUUUACUGCAGCCUGUCGUUGUGGUACGAGUUGUAAUGUGCAGGGUAGACGGGAGCCAUCGAAACCUGGGCGCAAGCUCAGGUGGAGGCAACGAUGAAACACCGUCCUUUACGAUCCGUCCCGCUAACCCCUUAGGGGGAACACCGAUAGGUGGGCAGUUUGGGUGGGGCGCCACUCCCUCGAAAAAAUAACAAGGGAGCUCAAAGGUCAGCUUAGGUAGGUCAGAAAUCUACCGUAAAGUGCAAGGGCAAAAGCUGGCUUGACGUGGUUUGGCACCACAACAAACCACGAUGCGAAAGCAGGACCUAGCGAACCAACCAGCCCCGUUAGUAGGGGCGGUUGAUAACAGAAAAGUUACCCCGGGGAUAACUGAGUUGUCUGGAGCAAGAGCCCACAUCGACCUCCAGGCUUGCUACUUCGAUGUCGUCUCUCUCUAUCCUGGGUGUGCAGAAGCACCCAAGGGUGGGGUUGUUCGCCCAUUAAAAGGGAUCGUGAGAUGGGUUUAGUCCGUCGUGAGACAGGAUUGUUGCUAUGUGCUGGGACCGUUUUGUGCCUGAAGGAAAGGGCCCCUUAGUACGAGAGGAACGGGGGCUCGCAGCCACUAGUUUACCAGUUGUCCGACAGGGCAUUGCUGGGCAGCCACGCUGCAAGGGAUAAGAGCUGAAAGCAUCUAAGCUCGAAACCCACCC
rnacentral:rRNA from 1 species